GGAUGUGAUCAUACCAGCAAUAACGCACUGGAUCCCAUCAGAACUCCGAAGUCAAGCACGCUUGGGCGAGAGUAGUACUCGGUUGGGUGACCCCCUAAGAAGUCCUCGUAUUGCAUCCC
rnacentral:rRNA from 1 species